rnacentral:lncRNA from 1 species
AUAGCAAAAUUGAAAACCAUAUUAAAACAAAAACGGCAAAACUAUAAUAACCUUGGCACAAGCGUGUUUCACUGGAGCGUGAGGAGGGGGAUCCGCCAGAUGAGGUGCUGGAAAACCCUUCCCAGUCUCCAGAGAUGUCAAAUCUGCAGGAGCACAACGGAGCUGUCGCUCAAACUCGAGGGAGAAAGUCAAGGAUCGCGCCGACGGGCCCCUGUAAUCAUCCCCACCUUUCACCCCACUAGCGACGGCCCUGGUACUAUGCAUAAUACAGACAGUCCUGGCUCUGCCCAUCAUCACGUUCAUGCAGACGCAGACGUGUUCAGUGAGAGGUGUGUAGCAAAGUUAGGAACGCCAUAAAUUGGGACAGCCCACGCAGAGACGCCGUGACGUAAUCGCACUUCAAAUAGAGCUUCGAGGUGCGCCGCAGCUAAAGCAAGCUGUAUCUGGUCCAGAGCCUGAGUAUAUAGUUUAGUCUUGCGCUGUGAGAGUGAGAGUAUGUCUGCUGCUGUGACUCUAGCGCUGCUGUUCUUCUUGUCUGUGGCACUGAACGAACAGGUGACCGAGGGCUGCACAUGUUUACCAAAACACCCUCAACAGCAGUUCUGCGCGUCUGAUAUAGGACCUGUCGAGGACGGCAGGGUCAUUCUUGAUUUAUGUGACCGUGUGGAACCUUGGAACCAACUCUCCCGAGUUCAAAAGAUGUACCUCAGCAUGUAUCAGAGAGGCUGUGUCUGUGAGAUCUCGCCCUGUACUGGAGCGUCCUGUUUGAUUGAGAUGCUUCAGAAAAAAUGUCUGAUGAGAGUCAAUAAUUCAUUCAUUCUUGAUGAUGAAGAGGCUCUUCAGUCUAUUUGCCUGCCAGGCAGUGGUGGCUUCUGCAGAUGGCGAAAAUUUCUUAAGUAACUACAAAAGCUCCUAAAAAUGAUGCCCUGAAGAACAAGUGCAUCAGCCAUUCGUCGGUGUGCAUUUUUGCCCUUUUGUUCUCCAGAAUGCUUAGAACAUUUUGAAAUGAAUUUAAACAAUUUAAUGAAGCUUUGCAAUGCAGUCAGCAAAUACAUACAAAACACUGUUUUCAUGGAGAUAUGCAAUCAACCAUUAAACUAUUUUGCAUGUAAAAGCGUCUGUGUGUAUUUAAUGGAAAAUUGUAAGCAUUUAUAUAUAUUUGGAUGUUCUUGGUGCCAAUGCCUUAUGUCAAAAGCAUUCAUCUAGUAUUGUUUUUUGCUUUUCUGUUCUGAUGAACAUUGAGUUAAAGGACAUUUUAAUUAAAAAAAACGGCAAUAACAAACCGCAACGUUUAAGGUUUAUUCCACAGAACCACAGCCACAUCAGACAGCAGGAAAAGUCUACUUCACUAG